GAUGAACGCUGACAGAAUGCUUAACACAUGCAAGUCAACUUGAACUUCGGUUUGGGUGGCGGACGGGUGAGUAACGCGUAAAGAACUUGCCUCACAGCUAGGGACAACAUUUGGAAACGAAUGCUAAUACCUGAUAUUAUGAUUUUAGGGCAUCCUAGAAUUAUGAAAGCUAUAUGCGCUGUGAGAGAGCUUUGCGUCCCAUUAGCUAGUUGGAGAGGUAACGGCUCACCAAGGCGAUGAUGGGUAGCCGGCCUGAGAGGGUGAACGGCCACAAGGGGACUGAGACACGGCCCUUACUCCUACGGGAGGCAGCAGUGGGGAAUAUUGGACAAUGGACCAAGAGCCUGAUCCAGCAAUUCUGUGUGCACGAUGAAGUUUUUCGGAAUGUAAAGUGCUUUCAGUUGGGAAGAAAAAAAUGACGGUACCAACAGAAGAAGUGACGGCUAAAUACGUG
rnacentral:rRNA from 1 species